rnacentral:lncRNA from 1 species
AGUAUUUUUAAAUUAUUAUUAAUAUAUUAAAAUAAUUUCAAAAUAAUUUUUAAUAAUUAAUUAUUGAAUAAAAUUUUUUCAAGGUUUAGAUAAACAUGAAAUCAAGUAUAAUCUUUUGAACGUGCGUAAUUAAAAUGCUAUAAACUUCAUUGCGCAAAAUUCUACUUACGAAUCUUAUAUGGUUUCAUAAAUUAUAAAUUCUUUUAAAGAACCUAAACCAAGCUUUAAGUAAUCAAUUACGUCUAACUAACAGUGUAUGAUCAGAAAAGCUUACCUGAGAUAUUAUUAGAUAUAAAAAAGGACAAAAGAGAAAGUUCCAAGAGAUUGAUUAUCCAAUUUUGUUCUGCAUUUCCAUAAGUAAACAGACACAAUUAAUCAGAGAGACCACAAAAUCCACUAAAUAUACAAAAGCUAUUGGAUCUGAGAAAAAAACUAGUAAAAAAUUGGACUCAGAAGAAGAAAAAGAAGAUGUACCUUCCUGACUGCCUUCUGAUUUUCUAUAUAUAAAUUCAGAAUUGUCGCCUUAAAGAUGAGAAAUAUGCAACCAAGAAAGGAAAAUGAAUGAAAGAAACAACAAAGUGGAAUCGAAACACUUGAUUAGAGUAGAAAAAGGAAGAAGACUAAGAUGCCCAGUAACAAAUCUCUUUCUUCCCUCAUGGAAAGAAGAACCGAUGAAGUUUGAAUUGUAAGUACCCAAAAGGCAAGAGGUCCUUGAGGAGAGAAAAAAUACAGUAGUUGUUUUUGAUAAUUGAGGGAAAAAAAAAGGUCAUGUCAUACUUUCAACAACUUGUUAUUAAAAUAUGACUUUAAAAUUUAAAAAAAAAAAUUAGACAGCUGCUUUCAGACAAGGUGUUUAAGUCAAGUCAACUCUAAAGGUCUAUGCAAUUAGGUGUUUAAGUCAAGUCUAAAGAUUCGUUACAAGCUACUAUGAGAUGGAAUUUGAUAAGGUUAAAAACAAUAUUAAAAAUAAAAUUAAUUAUUACAGUAACGAAAUUGAUUAUUAUAAAAAUAAAAUUAAAAUGAAUGAUAAAAUA